rnacentral:rRNA from 1 species
AGGUGCGAUCAUACCGGCACUAAUGCACCGAGUCCCAGCAGAACUCCACAACCUAGCGUGCUUGGGCGAGAGUAGUACUAGGAUGGGUGACCUCCUAGGAAGUCCUCGUUUGCAUUUC